ACCUAGACCUGAUUGAAAUGGCAUUCCGGUUUCCGCUAACUUUGUUAUUAUCGAACAUUUACCGGAAUAUAAUGGAAAGCAGGACUACAG
rnacentral:sRNA from 1 species